rnacentral:rRNA from 1 species
GACGAACGCUGGCGGCGUGCCUAAUACAUGCAAGUUGAGCGCUGAAGGUUGGUACUUGUACCGACUGGAUGAGCAGCGAACGGGUGAGUAACGCGUGGGGAAUCUGCCUUUGGGCGGGGGACAACAUUUGGAAACGAAUGCUAAUACCGCAUAAAAACUUUAAACACAAGUUUUAAGUUUGAAAGAUGCAAUUGCAUCACUCAAAGAUGAUCCCGCGUUGUAUUAGCUAGUUGGUGAGGUAAAGGCUCACCAAGGCGAUGAUACAUAGCCGACCUGAGAGGGUGAUCGGCCACAUUGGGACUGAGACACGGCCCAAACUCCUACGGGAGGCAGCAGUAGGGAAUCUUCGGCAAUGGACGAAAGUCUGACCGAGCAACGCCGCGGGAGUGAAGAAGGUUUUCGGAUCGUAAAACUCUGUUGGUAGAGAAGAACGAUGGUGAGAGUGGAAAGCUCAUCAAGUGACGGUAACUACCCAGAAAGGGACGGCUAACUACGUG